rnacentral:piRNA from 1 species
UUCCAGAACAAGGAGUGUAGCCGCCC